AUGGAGUUACAGACACAUGUCCUCAUGUCCCUGCUGUUCUGGGUGUCUGGUGCCUUUGCAGAUAUCGUGAUGACCCAGUCUCCAUCCUCCAUGGCUGUGUCAGCAGGAGAGAAGGUCACCAUCAGCUGCAAGUCCAGUCAGAGUCUUUACAGCAGUAAUUACAAGAAAAACUUCUUGAACUGGUACCAACAGAAACCAGGACAGGCUCCUAAACUGCUGAUCUACUGGGCAUCCACUCAGGAUACUGGAGUCCCUGAUCGCUUCAUAGGCAGUGGAUCUGAGAAAGAUUUCACUCUCACCAUCCGCAGUGUUCAGGCUGAAGACCUGGGACAUUACUACUGUAUGCAAGCUUAUGAUGUUCCUCCCACUGUGCUUCAGCCUCCAACAAAAACUUCUCAGAGUAUCAGCAGCUGCCUGCACCACAUGCAGUACUGCACCUGCACACUUCCCUUCUGCCUUAGAACCAGUGAGCCUGAAACUCUGAUCAAAAUGUAG